GGUUCUGUAUCAGAUCUCCUCUGAUUUACCCCACACCUAUAGUUAGUGUUCUGUAUCAGCAUCUCCUGUAUUUACCCCAGCCACCUAUAGGUUAGUGUUCUGUAUCAGAUCUCCUGUUUACCCAGACACCUAUAGGUUGUUGUUUCUGUAUCAGAUCUCCUGUGUGUUUACCCCAGACACCUAUAGGUUAGUGUUCUGUAUCAGAUCUCCUGUAUUUACCCCAGACACCUAUAGGCUAGUGUUCUGUAUCAAGAUCUCCUGUAUUUACCCCACGACACCUAUAGGUUAGUGUUCUGUGAUCGCGAACUCUCGUAUUUUCGUGUUUCCACUCACUACCAAAUAUUGUGGUGAUGCGCAAACCCAGGGCCCGCCCCAGUGAGGAAGAGAAGAUGGAGCGAGAUGGAUUAUGGCGA
rnacentral:lncRNA from 1 species